UACGUAGGCAGCGAGCGUUGUUCGGAUUUACGGGGCGUAAAGGGUGUGUAGGCGGUCUUCUAAGUUUGGUGUGAAAUCUCCCGGCUCAACUGGGAGGGUGCGCCGAAAACUGGGAGGCUAGAGUGCGGGAUGGGAGAGUGGAAUUCCUGGUGUAGCGGUGAAAUGCGUAGAUAUCAGGAGGAACACCUGUGGUGUAGACGGCUCUCUGGACCGCAACUGACGCUGAGACACGAAAGCGUGGGUAGCAAACAGG
rnacentral:rRNA from 1 species